rnacentral:rRNA from 1 species
AGAUUGAACGCUGGCGGCAUGCCUAACACAUGCAAGUCGAACGGGAGUAGCAAUACUCUAGUGGCGGACGGGUGAGGAAUACGUAGGAAUUUGCCCUUAAGUGGGGGAUAACCCGGGGAAACCCGGAUUAAUACCGCAUGACCUCGAAGAGCAAAGUGGGGGAUCGCAAGACCUCACGCUUUUGGAGAAGCCUACGUCGGAUUAGCUAGUUGGUGAGGUAAUGGCUCACCAAGGCGACGAUCCGUAACUGGUCUGAGAGGAUGAUCAGUCACACCGGAACUGAGACACGGUCCGGACUCCUACGGGAGCAGCAGGUGGGGAAUAUUGGACAAUGGGCGACGAAGCCUGACUACCGAGCAAUGACCGCGUGGUGUGAAGAA